rfam:Myotis brandtii contig205200, whole genome shotgun sequence.
GGCAGUCCUUGGGUGACGCAUCCUGGAAUCAGGCUCCCUCCUCUCUGGUUCCAGGUAUGUCACCUGAAAACCGCA